GUGAUGGAACAACAACUGCAUCUGUUCUUGCUCGGGAAAUCAUUAAACUCGGUCUGUUGAGUGUUACAUCUGGUGCAAAUCCAGUGUCUUUAAAGAGGGGCAUUGACAAAACUGUACUGGGUUUGAUUGAAGAGCUAGAAAAGAAGGCUAGACCUGUUAAAGGCCGUGACGACAUCAAAGCUAUUGCUUCAAUCUCUGCUGGAAAUGAUGAAAGCAUUGGUACCAUGAUUGCGGAUGCAAUUGACAAAGUUGGUCCAGAUGGUGUGUUGUCCAUUGAGUCAUCCUCCUCCUUAGAGACAACUGUUCAUGUUGAAGAAGGAAUGGAGAUCGAUAGAGGAUAUAUUUCCCCACAAUUUGUCACCAACCCUGAGAAAUUAAUUUCUGAAUUUGAGAAUGCUAGAGUCUUGGUUACUGAUCAGAAGAUUUCAGCUAUCAAGGACAUUAUCCCUCUAUUAGAAAAGACAACUCAGUUACGCGCCCCUCUCCUCAUUAUUGCCGAGGAUAUCACCGGGGAAGCUCUGGCCACUCUUGUUGUGAACAAGUUGCGGGGUAUACUGAAUGUUGCUGCCAUCAAAGCUCCU
rnacentral:misc_RNA from 1 species